rnacentral:misc_RNA from 1 species
AAAUAAAUGAAAAGUUCCACUGCAGAGAGUAAGCAAAGGAUAUAAAAAGUAAAUACUAACACAAAUAUCAGGAAAGAUUCAAAGGGAACCGCCUGCAAGGAUGGCCACAUCUCAUGUUAUUGCUGUGAAGUGUGAAUGCAGUGAAAAGCAUUUUGUUCAAGAUAACUAAACAGGGCAACAAAAUUUUAGAUUGUUCAGACCUCUUCAACACUGCAUAAAUCUCUACAAAUGCAAGAAUUAAUGACACAUAAUUGUAAUUGUAAUUCAGGAUGAUCAAUGCUUCAUGCCAAUUGAUUUGAUGUGCCACAAAGAUCAGCAAUGUAUAACCACCAAACUCAAUAGCCACACAAAAAUUUAGCUAAUAUGCAUUUUCCCUGCUUUGAUAUGGAUAUUCGCAUCAAGUAGCACCAGUUGGUAACUCUAAAGAUGGGUGAGAACUUAUCGAGAGAGGAACAACACCUACAUUUUUUUAACCAAAAAUGUUUCUCAAUAGCA